UGCAGCGCAGCUCCCGGCCCGAGCUGACGCUCAGCGCCCUGGACACCUGCUCCCGCUCGGCCAGCGGCAGCAGCAGUAGGAUCAACUCCUAUUCUGUUUUGGUUUCCCCAACCCGGGUCUGUACAAGAGGCAGAGAGGGCCGAGGAUGGGCCUCCCCAGCUCUGAAGCCCGUGAUGCCACACGUGCAGACAAGCAGCUUAGUGCAUCUGUGAGAUGAAGACUGAAGAAUCCAGAAUUCCUGGUGCUCAGGCAUUGAUACUCCCAUUCCUGUUAUUUUAUUUAAGGCAAUUUUUGUUACAUGGUUUUCAAGCACCUACCUGCCUUGUCCUCAGUCAGUGCUUACACUCACCUGAGCAGCUGCUUUUCCUUAGAUGCUCAUAAAAUUAUCACUGUUGCUCCAGUUCUCUGACCCUUUAUCUCUAUAACUAGAGCAGCCAGAGGCAAUGAGAAUUGUGUAACCAUCUCCCCACUACCCAAGUGCUUGGGACAGGUCUGGUAACUUUGAUAGUAUGUCUCAUGGGACACACAGAAUAAAUCUCUAUUAGAUUAGGGCACUUAUAAAUAAACUGGCUGCUUGCUACAGAAAGAAAAUAAAAAGGUCUUUAUUUUAGUUACCAGAUGAGAGAGGCAAGGAACACAAAUAUUUUGGCUAAUAUUAAACUAUUGGUAAAGGAUUUAAAAUCAAUA